rnacentral:rRNA from 1 species
UACAGGGGGUGCAAACGUUGCUCGGAAUUAUUGGGCGUAAAGCGCACGUAGGCGGUUGCUUAAGUCGGAUGUGAAAGCCCUUGGCUCAACCAAGGAAGUGCAUCCGAAACUGAGCAGCUGGAGUACGAAAGAGGGUCGCGGAAUUCCCGGUGAGAGGUGAAAUUCGUAGAGUAUCGGGAGGAACACCGGUGGCGAAGGCGGGCGACCUCGGGUCGGA